UACGAAGGGGGCUAGCGUUGCUCGGAUUGACUGGGCGUAAAGGGCGCGUAGGCGGUUUGUACAGUCAGACGUGAAAUUCCUGGGCUCAACCUGGGGGCUGCGUUUGAUACGUGCAGACUUGAGUUCGGAAGAGGGUCGUGGAAUUCCCAGUGUAGAGGUGAAAUUCGUAGAUAUUGGGAAGAACACCGGUGGCGAAGGCGGCGACCUGGCCUGUUCUUGACGCUGAGGCGCGAAAGCUAGGGGAGCAAACGGG
rnacentral:rRNA from 1 species